UGUGGAGUGAUAUUAGGCCAACAGAGAGGACAGGACACUAUACUGCUGUGUGGAGUGAUAUUAGUGCCAACAGAGAGGACAGGACACUAUACUGCUGUGUGGAGUGAUAUUAUGUGCCAACAGAAAGUACAGGACACUAACUGCUGUGUGGAGUGAUAUUAGUGCCAACAAGAGAGGGACAGGACCUAUACUGCU
rnacentral:lncRNA from 1 species